UACGUAGGGGGCAAGCGUUGUCCGGAUUUAUUGGGCGUAAAGAGCGUGUAGGCGGUCAGGUAGGUCGGUUGUGAAAACUGGAGGCUCAACCUUCAGAGGUCGACCGAAACUCCCUGGCUAGAGUCCGGGAGAGGAGAGUGGAAUUCCUGGUGUAGCGGUGAAAUGCGCAGAUAUCAGGAAGAACACCCGUGGCGAAAGCGGCUCUCUGGAACGGUACUGACGCUGAGACGCGAAAGCGUGGGGAGCGAACAGG
rnacentral:rRNA from 1 species